rnacentral:rRNA from 1 species
UACGAGGGGGGCGAGCGUUGUUCGGAAUUAUUGGGCGUAAAGGGUGCGUAGGCGGUUUGGUAAGUCUUAUGUGAAAUCUAUGGGCUCAACUCAUAGACUGCAUGAGAAACUGCCGGGCUUGAGUAUGGGAGAGGUGAGUGGAAUUCCUGGUGUAGCGGUGAAAUGCGUAGAUAUCAGGAGGAACACCUGUGGCGAAAGCGGCUCACUGGACCAUAACUGACGCUGGAUGCACGAAAGCUAGGGGAGCAAACAGG